AUUGAACGCUGGCGGCAUGCCUUACACAUGCAAGUCGAGCGGCAGCGCGGACUUCGGUCUGGCGUCGAGUGGCGAACGGGUGAGUAAUACAUCGGAACGUACCCUGUUGUGGGGGAUAACUAGUCGAAAGAGUAGCUAAUACCGCAUACGACCUGAGGGUGAAAGUGGGGGACCGCAAGGCCUCACGCAGCAGGAGCGGCCGAUGUCUGAUUAGCUAGUUGGUGGGGUAAAGGCCCACCAAGGCGACGAUCAGUAGCUGGUCUGAGAGGACGAUCAGCCACACUGGGACUGAGACACGGCCCAGACUCCUACGGGAGGCAGCAGUGGGGAAUUUUGGACAAUGGGGGCAACCCUGAUCCAGCAAUGCCGCGUGUGUGAAGAAGGCCUUCGGGUUGUAAAGCACUUUUGUCCGGAAAGAAAUCGCGCUGGUUAAUACCUGGCGUGGAUGACGGUACCGGAAGAAUAAGCACCGGCUAACUACGUG
rnacentral:rRNA from 1 species